GACGGAGGAAGCUAGCGUUGUCCGGAUUGACUGGGCGUAAAGCGCGUGUAGGCGGGAUCUUAAGUCGGACGUGAAAGCCUCUGGCUCAACCAGAGAAUUGCGUCCGAAACUGAGGUUCUUGAGGGCAGGAGAGGAGAGUGGAAUUGCUGGUGUAGCGGUGAAAUGCGUAGAGAUCAGCAAGAACACCCGUGGCGAAGGCGGCUCUCUGGACUGCUCCUGACGCUGAGACGCGAAAGCCAGGGGAG
rnacentral:rRNA from 1 species